GACGAACGCUGGCGGCGUGCUUAACACAUGCAAGUCGAACGGAAAGGCCCUGCUUGCAGGGUGCUCGAGUGGCGAACGGGUGAGUAACACGUGGGUGAUCUGCCCCUUACUUUGGGAUAAGCCUGGGAAACUGGGUCUAAUACUGGAUAGGACCAUGCUGUAGGUGGUGUGGUGGAAAGAUUAGUUUCGGUAAGGGAUGAGCUCGCGGCCUAUCAGCUUGUUGGUGGGGUAAUGGCCUACCAAGGCGUCGACGGGUAGCCGGCCUGAGAGGGUGGACGGGCACAUUGGGACUGAGAUACGGCCCAGACUCCUACGGGAGGCAGCAGUGGGGAAUAUUGCACAAUGGGCGCAAGCCUGAUGCAGCGACGCCGCGUGGGGGAUGACGGCCUUCGGGUUGUAAACUCCUUUCAGCCAUGACGAAGCCCUUGUGGUGACGGUAGUGGUAGAAGAAGCACCGGCUAACUACGUG
rnacentral:rRNA from 1 species